rnacentral:rRNA from 1 species
UACGUAGGGAGCGAGCGUUGUCCGGAUUUAUUGGGCGUAAAGCGUGCGUAGGUGGUUCGGUAAGUUAGAUGUUAAAGGCAGGGGCUUAACUCCUGUUUGCGUCUAAAACUGCCGGACUAGAGGACGGGAGAGGAAAGCGGAACUCACAGUGUAGCGGUGAAAUGCGUAGAUAUUGUGAGGAACACCAGUGGCGAAGGCGGCUUUCUGGACCGUUUCUGACGCUGAGGCACGAAAGCGUGGGGAGC